rnacentral:rRNA from 1 species
UGUGUAGGCGGUUCUCCAAGUUUGGUGUGAAAUCUCCCGGCUCAACCGGGAGGGUGCGCCGAAAACUGGGGGGCUAGAGUGCGGGAUGGGAGAGUGGAAUUCCUGGUGUAGCGGUGAAAUGCGUAGAUAUCAGGAGGAACACCGGUGGUGUAGACGGCUCUCUGGACCGUAACUGACGCUGAAACACGAAAGCGUGGGUAGCAAACAGGAUUAGAUACCCUGGUAGUCCACGCCCUAAACGAUGCAUAUUUGGUGUAGGUCAUUCAGUUGAUCUGUGCCGGAGCUAACGCGUUAAAUAUGCCGCCUGGGGAGUACAGUCGCAAGGCUGAA